AGGUCAGUAGUUUAAUGUGGUAAAACAUCAGACUUCUGAAAUCUGAAAAUAGAGGUUCGAAUCCUCUCUGGCCGUA
rnacentral:tRNA from 1 species